rnacentral:rRNA from 1 species
AACGAACGCUGGCGGCAUGCCUAACACAUGCAAGUCGAACGAGACCUUCGGGUCUAGUGGCGCACGGGUGCGUAACGCGUGGGAACCUGCCCUUAGGUUCGGAAUAACUCCCCGAAAGGGGUGCUAAUACCGGAUAAUGUCUUCGGACCAAAGAUUUAUUGCCUUUGGAUGGGCCCGCGUUGGAUUAGCUAGUUGGUAGGGUAAAAGCCUACCAAGGCGACGAUCCAUAGCUGGUCUGAGAGGAUGAUCAGCCACACUGGGACUGAGACACGGCCCAGACUCCUACGGGAGGCAGGAGUGGGGAAUAUUGGACAAUGGGCGAAAGCCUGAUCCAGCAAUGCCGCGUGAGUGAUGAAGGCCUUAGGGUUGUAAAGCUCUUUUACCCGGGAUGAUAAUGACAGUACCGGGAGAAUAAGCUCCGGCUAACUCCGUG